rnacentral:rRNA from 1 species
GGGUUGUGAGGUUAAGCGACUAAGCGUACACGGUGGAUGCCCUGGCAGUCAGAGGCGAUGAAGGGCGUACUAAUCUGCGAUAAGCGCCGGUAAGGUGAUAUGAACCGUUAUAACCGGCGAUACCCGAAUGGGGAAACCCAGUGUGAUUCGUCACACUAUCAUUAACUGAAUCCAUAGGUUAAUGAGGCGAACCGGGGGAACUGAAACAUCUAAGUACCCCGAGGAAAAGAAAUCAACCGAGAUUCCCCCAGUAGCGGCGAGCGAACGGGGAGGAGCCCAGAGCCUGAAUCAGCAUGUGUGUUAGUGGAAGCGUCUGGAAAGGCGCGCGAUACAGGGUGACAGCCCCGUACACAAAAGCGCAUGUGCUGUGAGCUCGAUGAGUAGGGCGGGACACGUGGUAUCCUGUCUGAAUAUGGGGGGACCAUCCUCCAAGGCUAAAUACUCCUGACUGACCGAUAGUGAACCAGUACCGUGAGGGAAAGGCGAAAAGAACCCCGGCGAGGGGAGUGAAAAAGAACCUGAAACCGUGUACGUACAAGCAGUGGGAGCACAGGUUUACCUGUGUGACUGCGUACCUUUUGUAUAAUGGGUCAGCGACUUAUAUUCUGUAGCAAGGUUAACCGAAUAGGGGAGC